rnacentral:rRNA from 1 species
AGUUGAAAUUGGGGGGGGACCCUGAUCAGCCAUGCCGCGUGUGUGAAGAAGGCCUUAGGGUUGUAAAGCACUUUCAGUGGGGAGGAAGGCUUCUGGCUAAUAAUCGGAAGUACUUGACGUUACCCACAGAAGAAGCACCGGCUAAUUUCGUGCCAGCAGCCGCGGUAAUACGAAAGGUGCGAGCGUUAAUCGGAAUUACUGGGCGUAAAGCGCGCGCAGGCGGUUUGUUAAGUCUGAUGUGAAAGCCCCGGGCUCAACCUGGGAAUGGCAUCGGAUACUGGCAAGCUAGAAUGCGGUAGAGGGGGGUGGAAUUCCACGUGUAGCGGUGAAAUGCGUAGAUAUGUGGAGGAACACCAGUGGCGAAGGCGGCCCCCUGGACUGACAUUGACGCUGAGGUGCGAAUGCGUGGGGAUCAAACAGGAUUAGAUACCCUGGUAGUCCACGCCGUAAACGAUGUCUACUAGCCGUCGGAGACCUUGUGUUUUUGGUGGCGCAGCUAACGCAAUAAGUAGACCGCCUGGGGAGUACGGCCGCAAGGUUAAAACUCAAAUGAAUUGACGGGGGCCCGCACAAGCGGUGGAGCAUGUGGUUUAAUUCGACGCAACGCGAAGAACCUUACCUACUCUUGACAUCCAGAGAAUCCUGUAGAGAUACGGGAGUGCCUUCGGGAAUUCUGAGACAGGUGCUGCAUGGCUGUCGUCAGCUCGUGUCGUGAGAUGUUGGGUUAAGUCCCGUAACGAGCGCAACCCUUGUCCUUAGUUGCUAACGGAUUAUGCCGAGAACUUUAGGGUGACUGCCGGUGACAAACCGGAGGAAGGUGGGGACGACGUCAAGUCAUCAUGGCCCUUACGAGUAGGGCUACACACGUGCUACAAUGGCCGGUACAGAGGGCUGCGAGACCGCGAGGUUUAGCCAAUCCCUUAAAACCGGUCGUAGUCCGGAUUGCAGUCUGCAACUCGACUGCAUGAAGUCGGAAUCGCUAGUAAUCGCAGAUCAGAAUGCUGCGGUGAAUACGUUCCCGGGCCUUGUACACACCGCCCGUCACACCAUGGGAAUGGAUUUCACCAGAAGUAGGUAGCUUAACCUUCGGGAGGGCGCUUACCACGGUGGGGUUCAUGACUGGGGUGAAGUCGUAACAAGGUAGCCGUAGGGGAACCUGCGGCUGGAUCACCUCCUUUCU